rnacentral:piRNA from 1 species
UNGCUUAUGAACCAUGAUAACCUUUUUGCCU